rnacentral:rRNA from 1 species
GCCUUGAUCCCUGGCUCAGGACGAACGCUGGCGGCAUGCCUAAUACAUGCAAGUCGAGCGGAGUUGUUUUGAAAGCUUGCUUCCAAAACAACUAUGCGGCGGACGGGUGAGUAACACGUAGGUAACCUGCCUGUAAGACUGGGAUAACUACCGGAAACGGUAGCUAAUACCGGAUAAUUUGUUUCUUCUCAUGAAGAGACACUGAAAGGCGGAGUAAUCUGCCACUUAUAGAUGGGCCUGCGGCGCAUUAGCUAGUUGGUGAGGUAACGGCUCACCAAGGCGACGAUGCGUAGCCGACCUGAGAGGGUGAACGGCCACACUGGGACUGAGACACGGCCCAGACUCCUACGGGAGGCAGCAGUAGGGAAUCUUCCGCAAUGGACGAAAGUCUGACGGAGCAAUGCCGCGUGAGUGAUGAAGGUUUUCGGAUCGUAAAGCUCUGUUGCCAGGGAAGAACGCUUGGGAGAGUAACUGCUCUCCAAGGUGACGGUACCUGAGAAA